AACGAACGCUGGCGGCAUGCCUAACACAUGCAAGUCGAACGAUUGCCUUCGGGUGAUAGUGGCGCACGGGUGCGUAACGCGUGGGAAUCUGCCCUUAGGUUCGGAAUAACAGCUGGAAACGGCUGCUAAUACCGGAUGAUAUCGCGAGAUCAAAGAUUUAUCGCCUGAGGAUGAGCCCGCGUUGGAUUAGGUAGUUGGUGGGGUAAAGGCCUACCAAGCCGACGAUCCAUAGCUGGUCUGAGAGGAUGAUCAGCCACACUGGGACUGAGACACGGCCCAGACUCCUACGGGAGGCAGCAGUGGGGAAUAUUGGACAAUGGGCGCAAGCCUGAUCCAGCAAUGCCGCGUGAGUGAUGAAGGCCCUAGGGUUGUAAAGCUCUUUUACCCGGGAAGAUAAUGACUGUACCAGGAGAAUAAGCCCCGGCUAACUCCGUG
rnacentral:rRNA from 1 species